rnacentral:rRNA from 14 species
CAAGGCUGAAACUUAAAGGAAUUGGCGGAAGGGCACCACAAGGCGUGGAGCUUGCGGCUUAAUUUGACUCAACGCAGGAAAACUUACCAGGUCCGUACAUAGGGAGGAUUGACAGAUUGAUAGCUCUUUCUUGAUUCUAUGGGAGGUGGUGCAUGGCCGUUUCUAGUUCGUGAGUUGACUUGUCUGGUUAAUUCCGAUAACGAGCGAGACCCCAACCCCUGUUAAGCUAGACGAGGUGCCGGUUUAAUGCCGGGCAUCAGCGCUAGAGCGUUACAGGGGGACGCUUGGUGGUAAACCAAGGGAAGCAUGGGGCCAUAGCAGGUCUGUGAUGCCCUUAGAUG